GAUGAACGCUAGCUACAGGCUUAACACGUGCAAGUCGAGGGGUAACGAGAGGAAAGCUUGCUUUCCUUGUCGACGACCGGCGCACGGGUGAGUAACGCGUAUCCAACCUGCCCCCAACUAAGGAAUAACCUUGCGAAAGUAAGACUAAUACCUUAUAAUUUCCUCAGAUGUCAUCUGACGAGGAAUAAAGAUUUAUCGGUUGUGGAUGGGGAUGCGUCUGAUUAGCUUGUUGGCGGGGUAACGGCCCACCAAGGCAACGAUCAGUAGGGGUUCUGAGAGGAAGGUCCCCCACAUUGGAACUGGGACACGGUCCAAACUCCUACGGGAGGCAGCAGUGAGGAAUAUUGGUCAAUGGGCGAAAGCCUGAACCAGCCAAGUAGCGUGCAGGAUGACGGCCCUAUGGGUUGUAAACUGCUUUUAUACAGGAAUAAAGUUAGCCACGUGUGGUUAUUUGUAGGUACUGUAUGAAUAAGGACCGGCUAAUUCCGUGCCAGCAGCCGCCGUAA
rnacentral:rRNA from 1 species